UGGGGAAUAUUGGACAAUGGGCGAAAGCCUGAUCCAGCAAUGCCGCGUGGGUGAAGAAGGUCUUCGGAUUGUAAAGCCCUUUCGGCGGGGACGAUGAUGACGGUACCCGCAGAAGAAGCUCCGGCUAACUUCGUGCCAGCAGCCGCGGUAAUACGAAGGGGGCUAGCGUUGCUCGGAAUGACUGGGCGUAAAGGGCGCGUAGGCGGUUUAGUGAGUUGGGCGUGAAAUUCCCGGGCUUAACCUGGGGGCUGCGUUCGAUACCACUAGGCUUGAGUGUGGAAGAGGGUCGUGGAAUUCCCAGUGUAGAGGUGAAAUUCGUAGAUAUUGGGAAGAACACCGGUGGCGAAGGCGGCGACCUGGUCCAUUACUGACGCUGAGGCGCGAAAGCGUGGGGAGCAAACAGGAUUAGAUACCCUGGUAGUCCACGCUGUAAAACGAUGUGUGCUGGGUGUUGGGUAACCUAGUUACUCAGUGUCGUAGCUAACGCGGUAAGCACACCGCCUGGGAGUACGGCCG
rnacentral:rRNA from 1 species